GAACACCGGUGGCGAAGGCGGGUCUCUGGGCAGUAACUGACGCUGAGGAGCGAAAGCGUGGGGAGCGAACAGGAUUAGAUACCCUGGUAGUCCACGCCGUAAACGGUGGGUACUAGGUGUGGGUUUCCUUCCUUGGGAUCCGUGCCGUAGCUAACGCAUUAAGUACCCCGCCUGGGGAGUACGGCCGCAAGGCUAAGACUCAAAGAAAUUGACGGGGGCCCGCACAAGCGGCGGAGCAUGUGGAUUAAUUCGAUGCAACGCGAAGAACCUUACCUGGGUUUGACAUGCACAGGACGCCGGCAGAGAUGUCGGUUCCCUUGUGGCCUGUGUGCAGGUGGUGCAUGGCUGUCGUCAGCUCGUGUCGUGAGAUGUUGGGUUAAGUCCCGCAACGAGCGCAACCCUUGUCUCAUGUUGCCAGCGGGUAAUGCCGGGGACUCGUGAGAGACUGCCGGGGUCAACUGCGGAGGAACGGUGGGAUGACGUCAAGUCAUCAUGCCCCUUAUGUCCAGGGCUUCACACAUGCUACAAUGGCCGGUACAAAGGGCUGCGAUGCCGCGAGGUUAAGCGAAUCCUUUUAA
rnacentral:rRNA from 1 species